CCUACGGGCGGCUGCAGUGGGGAAUAUUGGACAAUGGGGGGAACCCUGAUCCAGCCAUGCCGCGUGUGUGAAGAAGGCCCUCGGGUUGUAAAGCACUUUCAGUGAGGAAGAACGCCUGGUGGUUAAUACCCAUCAGGAAAGACAUCACUCACAGAAGAAGCACCGGCUAACUCCGUGCCAGCAGCCGCGGUAAUACGGAGGGUGCGAGCGUUAAUCGGAAUUACUGGGCGUAAAGCGCGCGUAGGUGGCUUGAUAAGCCGGUUGUGAAAGCCCCGGGCUCAACCUGGGAACGGCAUCCGGAACUGUCAAGCUAGAGGGCAGGAGAGGAAGGUAGAAUUCCCGGUGUAGCGGUGAAAUGCGUAGAGAUCGGGAGGAAUACCAGUGGCGAAGGCGGCCUUCUGGACUGACACUGACACUGAGGUGCGAAAGCGUGGGUAGCAAACAGGAUUAGAUACCCCGGUAGUC
rnacentral:rRNA from 1 species